GUUGGGACAAAGGUCUGGGGGGCCCUCUGCUUCUGGAGCAGAAAGAGAGGCUCCUUUUAUUUCACCAAAGCUCCCCCUCCAGAGAUUGGGGACAUGGCCUUGACUGUUGUCAGGGGGCCAGGGAAGGGCAUGGUCAGCACGUUUUCAAGUAAGAAUGCAGCGGAAGCCUGGUGAGGAGAGGCCAUUUGGAGUGUCUGCUGGAGGAGGGAGAAACAGUUUUCCACGUCAAAUUAUUUGUUUCUGGAGAACGACCACGUAGCUGCUUGUAGCUGGCUUUCUUCCGUCCCUCCAUCCACCCGCGGUUGGUGCCUGCAGGAGUCAGAGCUGACGCGGGCACUGUGGAUCCAGAGGCGGCAGAGGAGAGGGGUCAGGAGAGGCCGCUCCGGGCUGACGUCCCUGGCUCAGUUCUGCAGGCCGGCUGGGGCGCUGCCUGUCCGAAGGCACAGAGGCCUGCCCGUGGAACUGUGCGGAGCGCUAUGCAAAUCGUCAUGGGUUAGGGGUAAAGCAAAGCCCCAGUGUUUCCAGCAUUCUUCCCGGCCCUGCCGCCUGCCUCUCCGGACGCGGACCUCCUGCAGACGAAGCGCGGGUGCCCUCUGCUGGCCUUCCUGCCGACUGCACCUUCUACUUUGGGGACUCCCAGCCCCCGCGUCUGUGGGAGGCAAAUGUCCAAAAAAGAUUCGUGGGACCAUCUGAGGGCCACAGAACAGGAGCCCUGGUGCUCACAGACCUGCGUCUGUGAUGUCACUGAUCUUCCUUCCUCCACGUGCUCGCUCGGCUCUCCCUGCUCCCCCUAGUCCCUUCCUGCUCCCGCCCUCCAAGGAGCCUGUUACAGCAGCGCAGCUCUCAUGAGGAGCCGCCACGGCAGGUGCAGCAGCCCCGAGAAGGGAGACAGGCGCGGGAAGAAUAAAAAAGUCAAUCACUCCGGCGGAACUUCUAAGGAACUCCUGUCAUUGGCCACAGGUCCAGGAGAAGGUGGGCGUUCCCCCCAGGUUAAAGCCUUCUUCUUCCACACCCCUGUGGACUCCAUGUUUGGAUCCCCUUCCAUCCUGGUGGAAGCUGUCUUUCUCUCGCCUAGAUUUCCCCUCUGGAGUUCCCUUCCACACUCUGUGGAAGUUUUCGCCCUUCUCCUCCUUUUUGUCUCUUUCUUCUCCUAAAUAAAUAACUUUUCUGCAA